rnacentral:misc_RNA from 1 species
AAGUCGUAACAAGGUCUCCGUAGGUGAACCUGCGGAGGGAUCAUUAUUGAAUUUUCUCAAAGAAAAAUUUUGUACUUUGCUGUUCUCUUGAAAGAGAGAACAGUAUACAGUACAAGAUUUUUUCUCAAACAAACGAUCACAACUAAUUGGAAAAGAAAAUUGGUUUGGUUUGGGUGAUUUGAAAACAAGUGUUUGCCUGAUAAUCAAGAUGAUUUGGAUUGGAGAAAGAAAUACAACUUUCAACAACGGAUCUCUUGGCUCUCA